rnacentral:rRNA from 1 species
CCUAUAAGACUGGGAUAACUUCGGGAAACCGGAGCUAAUACCGGAUAACAUUUAGAACCGCAUGGUUCUAAAGUGAAAGAUGGUUUUGCUAUCACUUAUAGAUGGACCCGCGCCGUAUUAGCUAGUUGGUAAGGUAACGGCUUACCAAGGCGACGAUACGUAGCCGACCUGAGAGGGUGAUCGGCCACACUGGAACUGAGACACGGUCCAGACUCCUACGGGAGGCAGCAGUAGGGAAUCUUCCGCAAUGGGCGAAAGCCUGACGGAGCAACGCCGCGUGAGUGACGAAGGGUUUCGGCUCGUAAAACUCUGUUAUUAGGGAAGAACAAAUGUGUAAGUAACUGUGCACAUCUUGACGGUACCUAAUCAGAAAGCCACGGCUAACUACGUGCCAGCAGCCGCGGUAAUACGUAGGUGGCAAGCGUUAUCCGGAAUUAUUGGGCGUAAAGCGCGCGUAGGCGGUUUCUUAAGUCUGAUGUGAAAGCCCACGGCUCAACCGUGGAGGGUCAUUGGAAACUGGGAAACUUGAGUGCAGAAGAGGAAAGUGGAAUUCCAUGUGUAGCGGUGAAAUGCGCAGAGAUAUGGAGGAACACCAGUGGCGAAGGCGACUUUCUGGUCUGUAACUGACGCUGAUGUGCGAAAGCGUGGGGAUCAAACAGGAUUAGAUACCCUGGUAGUCCACGCCGUAAACGAUGAGUGCUAAGUGUUAGGGGGUUUCCGCCCCUUAGUGCUGCAGCUAACGCAUUAAGCACUCCGCCUGGGGAGUACGACCGCAAGGUUGAAACUCAAA